GCUUACACGGAGGUGACAGUCUGCUCGCUGACCUUCUCUGUUCUUCUCCAACAUUUCAAAUUAAUCUUUUAUUCUCCUCGUUUAUCCGGGUUCGUGGAGCGGAGCAUUUCAGCAGAAAUGGCGACAGAAAAAACAGAGCUGGACUUUACAAGAGACAGCGCUCCUCCUCAACGUAUUAAAAUCAUUUAAAAUAAGUGGAAAAGCUUGACGGACGUAAGUUGGCAGCACAGACUUGUUGUGUCCGGAGUCAGCAGGUCAGUAGAGCAAAUUAAAAACUGCUGGGAAGCAACGAGCGCUUUGUACAAGGAGAAACUAAAAAUGAGCAGAAGCUGUGCAGCUCCAACCAGCUUCACUUAUUAUGAAUUAAUGCAGUAAUAAUCGGCGGUCGACCUCUCUCCAAGGACACUGGAGUAGAAGUCGAUUUUCCACCGGAGGAAAGUUCACCCGAGACACCAGAAAGCCUGGAGCGCCAAAUCACAACAAACAGUUGCCCCAAGGCGCUUUAUAUUGUAAGGCAAGGCCAUACAAUAUGAUGAUGAUGAUGUAAAGAGCACAUUGGAAGAGGUUAAUGACAGCAGAUCUCCACAACCUGAAGACCACAGAGGAGGCUCCAGACAAAAAAAAUCAAAAGCCAUCAUCUGGUGAUGCUGAGUUCCUGGGUGAUCGAUCAGCCAGCAGAGAUCUUUACUGGACAACAUUCAACAGCAGCAUGAGAGGAAUCUGGAAAGAGAAGAGAGGCUUUUUUCCAGGUUUAUGGAAGAAAGUAUCCGCUUAACUGAAUGCAUUAUAGGGAAACUGUUUGAUGGUCUUCGGUCUCUCCUUCCUCAAUCCUACUCAUCAGCUCCACAUUUACAUGAACAAAGUUAGUCAAGGACCUCGCUGAGACGAUCAUGGAACAGCCCGAAAAUGACCACCCGUCCUGAGUGUUUCUUCAAGUACAGCUGGAUUUUCUAAACUGCAGCAGCUAUAGAUUUUCCAAAGUACUCAAUAUGCUCAGAAUGACCAGUACAUGUUUAGAAGGGUCAUAGAAGAGUGUAAAAUUUCUAGUUUGAAUAUUUUAAGAAAAAACAUUUGGUCAAACGACCUACAUAUAGUCUGGAAUCUUUAGUAUCUUAAACUUUCUGUUGUGGAUGUUCCCCUGAUAAUCUUUAAAACAUUUAAGACCUCUAGAUUCUGCUGUCUGCCAAAGAUACAAGAUUUGUUUUGUAUUUUCCACUUUAAAUGCAUAUUCCAUUGAUAACAGUAGGACUGAAAAUAAAAAAUUCAUAUUUGUAAAGCGUUCAUUUUCUAAUGAUGUGUGGUAAUAAGUUGACCCACUUAUUUUGGCCAUUUUCUCUUAAAAUAUCAAAAUUUUGGGCUGUUUGACCUGGAUAGAGAUUUUGGCA